rnacentral:lncRNA from 1 species
CUCUUAAUGAAGAGGUUAAGGUAUUUUAAAGAUAUUUUUUCAUUUUGUGUUUCUAGGGGUAACAGGGAUUUAUAAACUUUUUGGAGAUCUCUGUGAUUUGUAGACGUUUCUUAUUUAAAAUAAUUAUUUUAAAACUCAACGUUACUAUUUCCUCUAUGGAAAUUAUCUAUUUUAUCGUUAGAGCGUUUCCUCAAACCUUGGAAAAAAAAAAUGCGCUCUCUUCAUCAGGAGAUGGCGCUGUGCGGUGUGGUUUGGAAACCAGUACCAGAACCACCUGUCUGUCUUGGGAGCCACAUGUUGGAGAAAGUACAAACAUCUUCCUCAAGAGUGGACUUCUGUUCAGCAGUGGGUUCUCUGUAUACUUCCAAAGUCAGAAAAAGGAUGAUGAGCAAAUGUGCUAAUAAAGGUAUACAAGAAGAACUUGUGACUUAAGGAAACUGUAAACUGUCUGGUAUAAAUCAAUAUAAAUUGAGAAAUCUAACUGGUAUUUAAAAGCACACAAAGUGGCCCAGGAAGCGGAAUGGAAGAUUUUGUUGUUUAAAAUGGGCCUAAGCUCAGCCUCUCAUCAUUCCUGCAGUCUGAGGUUUGUCUGGCAGUGAAAUUAUGAAAUUCUAGCUUGUGCAUGCCUGCAUCUCAAUUUCCAUUCUCUCUCUCUAUUUCCUUAAUAAUCCGGCUUUGUGGAUGGGUUCUGCUAUGUAUUCAACAUGAGACUAACUUCUGCCUUCAUUUUUAUUAACUUUGAUUGCUGCAUGCACAAAAAUGAGGUCAGAAUUUGGUCUCAGAUGGUAAAUUUGCACCAUGGGUUUCUGGAAAUUUUGCCACAUCCUCUGCUCUAGCCUUUUUUUCUGAAAGUGGUUUGGGACACCGCUUGCAUGGUACAUUACACAAAUAGGAAGGAAAUGGGUCCUCAACUUGAAAUGAGCUAUUUGUCAGGGGAAAAAUAUUUGCUUAGGUGGAGCACUGCAAAAAUUCAUGAUUCUGUACUAGUCCACUUGUUUAUGGGAUGCUGAUCUGAAAAGGUAUUCGUGUGGAAUACAGUUACAUAGAGUGAGGGGCAGAUUCAGCUUUGUGACUUCCAAUGGACACAGAUUCUUCAGCUUCCACUAAUAUUCUAUAAUAGUUCAUGUCAAUGGAAAGUAUACCACAGGUGUCAUUUUUGAAUUUGCAGUAUUGCUCUAAAGGCAAUUUUUCACUCCUGUUAAUGCAAAUACCUCUUCUGAGGUCAAUGCAUAAUUUGGAUGAGGAAUAUGCCUUUUAUUUUCAAAUAGACUUGGAAGAUUUCAGCACGCCUGUAAAUAAAGGUAUCUCUAACUUAAAUCCUAUCCUAUCA